rnacentral:misc_RNA from 1 species
ACGAGUGAGGGUCUCUCAGGCCCGACCUCCCAACCCUUUGUUUACCGAACCAUCGUUGCUUCGGCGGGUCCGUCCCUUGGACCGCCGGGGGGGCUUUACCCCCCUGGCCCGCGCCCGCCGACAGCCCCCCAUUUAAAACUCUUUAUGAAUCGUGUCUCGCGUCUGAAUCAUGAUUAUACCAAAUCAAAAACA